CGUAGGCGCGAGCGUUGUCCGGAAUUAUUGGGCGUAAAGGGCUCGUAGGCGGCUGGUCGCGUCUGUCGUGAAACCCUCGGCUUAACCGGGGCUUGCGGUGGGUACGGGCCGGCUUGAGCGCGGCAGGGGAGACUGGAAUUCCUGGUGUAGCGGUGGAAUGCGCAGAUAUCAGGAGGAACACCGGUGGCGAAGGCGGGUCUCUGGGCCGUUACUGACGCUGAGGAGCGAAGCGUGGGGAGCGAACAGGAUU
rnacentral:rRNA from 1 species